AGGCAGCAGUGGGGAAUAUUGCGCAAUGGGCGAAAGCCUGACGCAGCUACGCCGCGUGGGUGAUGAAGGCCUUCGGGUUGUAAAGCUCUGUCGGGAGGGACGAAGAUCUGACGGUACCUCCCAAGAAAGCACCGGCUAACUCCGUGCCAGCAGCCGCGGUAAUACGGAGGGUGCAAGCGUUGCUCGGAAUCAUUGGGCGUAAAGCGUACGCAGGCGGCUCGUUAAGUCGGGUGUGAAAUCCCGGGGCUCAACCCCGGAAUUGCGCCCGAGACUGGCGGGCUUGAGUGCGGGAGAGGGAAGCGGAAUUCCUGGUGUAGAGGUGAAAUUCGUAGAUAUCAGGAGGAACACCGGUGGCGAAAGCGGCUUCCUGGCCCGACACUGACGCUCAUGUACGAAAGCGUGGGGAGCAAACAGGAUUAGAUACCCUGGUAG
rnacentral:rRNA from 1 species